rnacentral:rRNA from 1 species
CCUACGGGAGGCAGCAGUGGGGAAUAUUGCACAAUGGGGGAAACCCUGAUGCAGCGACGCCGCGUGAGUGAAGAAGUACCUCGGUACGUAAAGCUCUGUCAGCAGGGAAGAAAAUGACGGUACCUGACUAAGAAGCCCCUGCUAACUACGUGCCAGCAGCCGCGGUAAUACGUAGGGGGCAAGCGUUAUGCGGUUUUACUGGGUGUAAAGGGAGCGUAGACGGCAGCACAAGUCUGGAGUGAAAUCCCUCGGUUUAACCCCGGAACUGCAUUGGAAACUGUGCGGCUGGAGUGCAGGAGGGGAAAGCGGAAGUCCUAGUGUAGCGGUGAAAUGCGUAGAUAUUAGGAGGAACACCGGUGGCGAAGGCGACUUUCUGGACUGUAACUGACGUUGUGGCUCGAAAGCGUGGGGAGCAAACAGGAUUAGAUACCCCUGUAGUC